rnacentral:rRNA from 1 species
UACGUAGGGACCGAGCGUUGUCCGGAUUCAUUGGGCGUAACGAGCUCGUAGGCGGCCACUCAAGUCGAAUGUGAAACCUCGAGGCUUAACCUCGAGCCUGCAUUCGAUACUGGGCGGCUAGAGUCUGGUAGGGGGGAUCUGGAAUUCCUGGUGUAGCGGUGGAAUGCGCAGAUAUCAGGAGGAACACCGAUGGCGAAGGCAGGUCUCUGGGCCAUAACUGACGCUGAGAAGCGAAAGCAUGGGGGAGCGAACAGG